GCAAACUUGGUCAUUUAGAGGAAGUAAAAGUCGUAACAAGGUUUCCGUAGGUGAACCUGCGGAAGGAUCAUUACAGUAUAUUGAAUUCUUAUUCAUAUCAACCCACACUGUGUACCUUUUAUUUGUUGCUUCCAUGGGACAUGGCUCUGCCACGUCGGCCUCUGGGCUGAUGAGUUCCCAUGGAAGGAAACCCAUAACUCUUUUUAUUUUUGACAUCUGUCUGAAUAGUUUUUAUAAACGUUAAAACUUUCAACAACGGAUCUCUUGGUUCUCGCAUCGAUGAAGAACGCAGC
rnacentral:misc_RNA from 1 species